GAUGAACGCUAGCUACAGGCUUAACACAUGCAAGUCGAGGGGGCAGCACAGUGUAGCAAUACACGGGUGGCGACCGGCGCACGGGUGCGUAACGCGUAUCCAACCUUCCCGUUACUCAGGGAUAGCCUUCCGAAAGGGGAGAUUAAUACCUGAUGGUGUUCAAAUUCCGCAUGUUAUUUGAACUAAAGAUUUAUCGGUAACGGAUGGGGAUGCGUGACAUUAGGUAGAUGGCGGGGUAACGGCCACCAUGCCUACGAUGUCUAGGGGUUCUGAGAGGAAGGUCCCCCACACUGGAACUGAGACACGGUCCAGACUCCUACGGGAGGCAGCAGUGAGGAAUAUUGGGUCAAUGGUCGGAAGACUGAACAGCCAUGCCGCGUGAAGGUCACGG
rnacentral:rRNA from 1 species